rnacentral:rRNA from 1 species
UACGUAGGGGGCAAGCGUUGCUCGGAAUUACUGGGCGUAAAGGGUGUGUAGGUGGCUGUUCAAGUCAACGAUGAAAUCCCGAGGCUCAACUUCGGAAUUGUCUUUGAUACUGGACGGCUUGAGGCUAGUUGAGGAGAGCGGAAUUCCCGGUGGAGCGGUGAAAUGCGUAGAUAUCGGGAGGAACACCUGAGGCGAAGGCGGUUCUCUAAACUAGUCCUGACACUGAGACACGAAAGCUAGGGGAGCAAAC